rnacentral:lncRNA from 1 species
CGUCACAAAAGCCUCCAACUCCGUCGUCUCCUCCGACUCCUAAGAUGGCUCCGCCACUACCUAAACCCUCACCUCCACGUCCAUCUCCGAAGAAGUCUCCUCCACCUCCUAAACCCUCAUCUCCGCCUCCUAAACCCUCAUCUCCGCCUCCAACUCCAAAAAAGUCUCCUCCGCCUCCUAAACCAUCGCCUCCGCCUCCAACUCCAAAAAAGUCUCCUCCGCCUCCUAAACCAUCGCCUCCACCGACUCCUAAAAUGUCUCCGCCAUCACCUACACCAUCACCUCCACGUCCAA